UCCCAGACUCCUACGGGAGGCAGCAGUGGGGAAUAUUGCACAAUGGGGGAAACCCUGAUGCAGCGACGCCGCGUGAGUGAAGAAGUAUUUCGGUAUGUAAAGCUCUAUCAGCAGGGAAGAAAAUGACGGUACCUGACUAAGAAGCCCCGGCUAACUACGUGCCAGCAGCCGCGGUAAUACGUAGGGGGCAAGCGUUAUCCGGAUUUACUGGGUGUAAAGGGAGCGUAGACGGCCAGACAAGUCAGAAGUGAAAGCCCAGGGCUCAACCCUGGGACUGCUUUUGAAACUGCCGGGCUGGAGUGCAGGAGAGGUAAGCGGAAUUCCUGGUGUAGCGGUGAAAUGCGUAGAUAUCAGGAGGAACACCUGUGGCGAAGGCGGCUUACUGGACGAUGACUGACGCUGAGGCUCGAAAGCGUGGGGAGCAAACAGGAUUAGAUACCCUUGUAAC
rnacentral:rRNA from 1 species